UACGAAGGGGGGCUAGCGUUGCUCGGAAUCACUGGGCGUAAAGCGCACGUAGGCGGUUUCUUAAGUCAGGGGUGAAAUCCCGGAGCUCAACUCCGGAACUGCCUUUGAUACUGGGAGACUUGAGUUCGGGAGAGGUGAGUGGAACUGCGAGUGUAGAGGUGAAAUUCGUAGAUAUUCGGAAGAACACCAGUGGCGAAGGCGGCUCACUGGCCCGGUACUGACGCUCAGGUGCGAAAGCGUGGGGAGCAAACAGG
rnacentral:rRNA from 1 species